UACGGAGGGUGCGAGCGUUGUCCGGAAUCAUUGGGCGUAAAGGGCGCGUAGGCGGCCCGGUCAGUCUUUGGUGAAAGCGCGGGGCUCAACCCUGCGUCGGCCAGGGAUACUGCCGCGGCUGGAGCACUGUAGAGGCAGGGGGAAUUCCGGGUGUAGCGGUGGAAUGCGUAGAGAUCCGGAAGAACACCGGUGGCGAAGGCGGCCUGCUGGGCAGUUGCUGACACUGAGGCGCGACAGCGUGGGGAGCAAACAGG
rnacentral:rRNA from 1 species